GAUGAACGCUGGCGGCGUGCCUAAUACAUGCAAGUCGAGCGAACGGACGAGAAGCUUGCUUCUCUGAUGUUAGCGGCGGACGGGUGAGUAACACGUGUAUAACCUACCUAUAAGACUGGGAUAACUUCGGGAAACCGGAGCUAAUACCGUAUAAUAUUUUGAACCGCAUGGGUCAAAGGUGAAAGACGGUCUUUCUGUCACUUAUAGAUGGAUCCGCGCUGCAUUAGCUAGUUGGUAAGGUAACGGCUUACCAAGGCAACGAUGCAUAGCCGACCUGAGAGGGUGAUAGGCCACCCUGGAACUGAGACACGGUCCAGACUCCUACGGGAGGCAGCAGUAGGGAAUCUUACGCAAUGGGCGAAAGCCUGACGGAGCAACGCCGCGUGAGUGAUGAAGGUCUUCGGAUCGUAAAACUCUGUUAUUAGGGAAGAACAUAUGUGUCAGUAAACGUGCACAUAUUGACGGUACCUAAUCAGAAAGCCACGGCUAACUACGUG
rnacentral:rRNA from 1 species